UGGGUGUGUGAGCCCAGCCAAUACAAGAGGAGCUGCUCAUUGGAUCCCAGCUUCACUCAUUCACUCACGCACUAAUGAUACAAGUUUUCUGAUGCAAGCCUAAUAACAAGAAAUUCCCAGGCCACUGCUUGGCUCCCACCUUCAAGAUUACCGCACAACUUGUCCAGGCUGUCGGAUUGGGCAGGCACUGUGGCAUAGUGGAUCAAACCACCUUGAAUGCUGGCAUUCCAUAUGGAUGCUGCUUUGAGUCCUGGCAGCUCCACUUUAGAUCCUGGGAGAGCGGGGAAGGAUCGCCUACAUGCUUAGACUGGUGUAUCUAUGUUGGAAACCUAGACAAAGCUUCAAUCUAGCCAUAGAGUGGAC